UGAUAAUUAGUUUAAAUAAAACAAGUGAUUUCGACUCACUAGAUUGUGAUAACGAUCAUAAUUAUCAA
rnacentral:tRNA from 1 species